rnacentral:rRNA from 1 species
CGUAAAGCGCAUGCAGGCGGCCUGUUAAGUCAGAUGUGAAAGCCCGGGGCGUUAACCUCGGAAUUGCAUUUGAAACUGGCAGGCUAGAGUCUUGUAGAGGGGGGUAGGGAAUUUCAGGUGUAGCGGUGAAAUGCGUAGAGAUCUGAAGGAAUACCAGUGGCGAAGGCGGCCCCCCUGGACAAAGACUGACGCUCAGAUGCGAAAGCGUGGGGAGCAAACAGGAUUAGAUACCCCUGGUAG